rnacentral:rRNA from 1 species
AUUGAACGCUGGCGGCAGGCCUAACACAUGCAAGUCGAGCGGAGCGGCGGACGGGUGAGUAAUGCCUAGGAAUCUGCCUGGUAGUGGGGGAUAACGUCCGGAAACGGGCGCUAAUACAGCAUAGUAUGAGAUGAGCCUAGGUCGGAUUAGCUAGUUGGUGGGGUAAUGGCCUACCAAGGCGACGAUCCGUAACUGGUCUGAGAGGGUGAUCAGUCACCCUGGAACUGAGACACGGUCCAGACGCCUACGGAAGGCAGCGGUGGGGAAUAUUGGACAAUUGGCCAAAGCCUGAUCCAGCCAUGCCGCGUGGGUGAAGAAGGGCUUCGGAUUGUAGAGCACUUUAAGUUGGGAGGCGGUACCAACAGAAUAAGCACCGGCUAACUUCGUGCCAGCAGCCGCGGUAAUUC